ensembl:snRNA U6 U6 spliceosomal RNA
GCACUCACUUUGGCAACACAUAUAUUAACAUUGUAACGAUACAGAGAUUAGCAGGGCCCCUGCACAAGGAUGACAUGCACAUCCAUGAAGCCUUCCAUGUUUUU